rnacentral:rRNA from 1 species
ACAGAGGUCUCAAGCGUUGUUCGGAAUCACUGGGCGUAAAGGGUGCGUAGGUGGCGUGGUAAGUCAGAUGUGAAAGCCCGGGGCUCAACCUCGGAAUUGCAUCCGAUACUACCAUGCUAGAGUACUGAAGAGGUGACUAGAAUUCUAGGUGUAGCAGUGAAAUGCGUAGAUAUCUAGAGGAAUACCAACGGCGAAGGCAGGUCACUGGGCAGUUACUGACACUGAGGCACGAAGGCCAGGGGAGCAAACGGGAUUAGAUACCCCGGUAGUCCUGGCAGUAAACGGUGCACGUUUGGUGUGGGCGCAAUCGACCGCGUCCGCGCCGGAGCUAACGCGUUAAACGUGCCGCCUGGGAAGUACGGUCGCAAGAUUA